AAACUUACUAAAUGCGAGGAAAAUCCGUUGGCUUUAUUGACCGUGAGGGUUCAAGUCCCUCUACCCCCA
rnacentral:tRNA from 1 species